UCUCCGUUGGUGAACCAGCGGAGGGAUCAUUACCGAGUUUACAACUCCCAAACCCAAUGUGAACCAUACCAAACUGUUGCCUCGGCGGGGUCACGCCCCGGGUGCGUCGCAGCCCCGGAACCAGGCGCCCGCCGGAGGGACCAACCAAACUCUUUCUGUAGUCCCCUCGCGGACGUUAUUUUUACAGCUCUGAGCAAAAAUUCAAAAUGAAUCAAAACUUUCAACAACGGAUCUCUUGGUUCUGGCAUCGAUGAAGAAUGCAGC
rnacentral:misc_RNA from 1 species